UCUAGAGAAAGACGACUAAAGUGAUUACUAUUGAAAAAAAUAGUUUGUUCUCAUUGCUGUUAAUUAUAAUAAUAAAGUAGAGUCUCAUAGCUCAGCUGGUUAGAGCGCUACACUGAUAAUGUAGAGGUCGGCAGUUCGAGUCUGCCUGAGACUACUAUUUACUUAAUACUUGUUAUUAAGUUAAAGGAAAUUUUAGAAGUUGAGUAAAUGAUUUAAUUCAUUUAUAGAGUUAUUUAAUUACUCAUUUUUAUGGGGGAUUAGCUCAGCUGGCUAGAGCGCCUGCCUUGCACGCAGGAGGUCAUCGGUUCGACUCCGAUAUUCUCCACUAACAGUUUUUAUACUGUAUACGUUCAUUGACAUAUUGAAAAAGAUACAUAAAAAUUUUAGAUUAUUUAUAAUCUAAAAGUAAUUCCGAUUAAUUGUAGCGCGAGCGACAAUUAAUCAAAACUCAUUAAAAAGACAAAAAGUACAA
rnacentral:tRNA from 1 species